CUGGUGCAGAUGGACAAGGAAUGGUGGCUUGACACCCUGGCUGACAUCUUUAAAGAUUUCACGAGACUUUAGGAAGCUAUAUCCAGAGGCAGACAGAAAAACCUUUUGAAGACUGGGCUACAAUUGCUGACCGAAUUCUUGCCUAUGCCCUGCGAGAUGGAAAGGUGCAUUUAGAGCUGGGUGACAUGACUCCAAAUGCUAAAGGGGAGAGUGCUUUCAAAGUCCUGCCCACUCUGCUUCCCCCAUCAAUAUACAAGAAAGGCGGAGAGGUCUCCAGACCC
rnacentral:lncRNA from 1 species